UAGUCUGAACUUAGACUUCACAGACGUACAGAAACCUGCUUGAGGGGAAAGCAGAGGGCAAGUGUGAGGUCAAGGCCCACAAGUGCCAGACUCGCAGCAGGCUGUGCAGCAGCUGGACAGCGCCUAACCCACAGCAAAACCACCAGCUGCGCUGGCUGACGGAGCAGGCCGGCUCUCGCCAGGCCGCAGGCACACAGCUCCCAUCGCUGUGAGAAUCCUCGGCACUGGCGCUGUGUGCAGCAUUCAUGGGCUCUAUAAAAACUCUCCUCAGACUGUGUGUGCCUGUCUAAGCUGCUGGGCACGGGCAGCUCAUUGCAGGGGUGCCCUCGGCGGGCGCUCUGUGGGCACAGCGCACGGGACAAUGGUUCUCUCCAGGCCGGACUGUUUGAAUAACAGUAAUCUUCAACCGGAUUUCUAUUUAAAAUGUGCCCGUACUAAUUAAGACUUUAUUUCCUCGUCUCCUUGCACAUCUAUAUUGGUAAAGCUGAAAACUUCUGUCUAUGUCCCACACAUGAAAUACAAUAGUUCAGAGCAGGCUCAUAAAGGCUGAGGCAGGAACGUACCCUUGGAGAUCAGCUGUUGUGUUAGAAUAAAGAUAUUUUGCAAAAUUUUCCCAGGUACGUAGCUCAGACUCACAGAAAAACUGGUUUGGAAAAAAGAGAUCAGAGGCCCCCUAGUUCAUCAAGCUGCCCAAGGCAAGAUUUCUAUACCUAUUUCCCAGCAGAUGUUUCAGCUAACCUCUUCCUACAGACCUCCAGGACAAAUUUCACAAAUUCUUCUGACAUUCUAUUGCAGCUCUGCACUAUCUGCUCUAGUAAAAUGUUUGUUCUCAUAUCUCAUCUGGGUGAGCCCAUUUCUUCAAUCUUCACUUCCUGUCCCACCCACUCUGGACUCAGAGAACAAAAAAUCAUCUUCAGCAUUCAGCUUGUAAUGAUCCACCAGCCACUUCACUUCUGUAUUCAUGUGUGGACUUACUCCAGGGAUCCUGCAAAGCUCCUUAAAGAGCCUUGCUGGGACAUUCCUAAGAGGAGCACCUAUCAUCUGCAUUCAGAAAUACCUCCAUAACAAUUUCCUCUCAACAAAUAAAUUCAACAAGAAUUUUAAACAGACAAGUUAAACACUUAAAAUCAAGAAAAUGAAGGCUCUCUUUCUGGAGGAAACAUUUGGUAACAGUACUGUAGCUGCUACUUAGAUUUGUCCUCUUUGACCAAUGCCAUUAUUAAAUAGAGUUAAUAAAAAAUUGAAUCACACA